GGACAAACGAAAGCCAAUCUGUCUCCUCAAAAUAUCUAAAAAUUGUCCUCAAGGUGAAGAGACCUUGAUAAAGUCAAAGGACAAGAAGACCCCGUAGAGCUUAUAUUCUCACUAUUUUCAUAAAAUAAAUAAUAUACAUUAUCUUAUGUCAAAUAAAAGAAUUUUACUGGGGCGGUAAAGGAAUAUAAACUUCCAUAUAAUUUGCUAAACUUGCUAAACAAGGCACACUAGCCCAACCUAAAUGAUCCAUCACAUGAUCAAAGAAAAUAGCUACCUCGGGGAUAACAGAUUAAUCCCCCUUAAGAGUUCACAUUGACAGGGGGGUUUGACACCUCGAUGUUGGCUUAGGGUAUCCAGGGGGUCAGCAGCAGCCCCC
rnacentral:rRNA from 1 species